rnacentral:rRNA from 1 species
CAGCAGCCGCGGUAAUACGUAGGUGGCAAGCGUUGUCCGGAAUUAUUGGGCGUAAAGCGCGCGCAGGCGGAUUGGUCAGUCUGUCUUAAAAGUUCGGGGCUUAACCCCGUGAUGGGAUGGAAACUGCCAAUCUAGAGUAUCGGAGAGGAAAGUGGAAUUCCUAGUGUAGCGGUGAAAUGCGUAGAUAUUAGGAAGAACACCAGUGGCGAAGGCGACUUUCUGGACGAAAACUGACGCUGAGGCGCGAAAGCCAGGGGAGCGAACGGGAUUAGAUACCCCAGAGUCCCUGUCUCUUAUACAC